GAGCAUUCCACAGAGCUCCCUCCGUGCUGCCUGCCCCCACCUCAGCCCAGACCUGCUGGGACCACUUCUGAUGCCAGCUGUCUCUGUAGCCCAUUCAGCUCCACAUCGCUCGUUUGAGACUGCCAACUGGGGUGCUAAUUAGCACCAGUUGCAGCAGACAGCCUUUUGCUGAUGUGGGCAAGAAUCCAUUGGGAAUGUGCUGGAGACCACCAACUCAAUUUGCAGAGAUAUUUUUAUUUUAAUGUUUUUGCUAUCCUCGAUACCUUGAGCUGUUUAGUUAAAGGAAUCCUCCUAGGAGUUGUGCGGGAAUAUAUGCAUACCUAUAGAAAAACCCAGGCAUUAUGCACACCGAAUGCAUAUCGCAGGCUAAUUAUAAUUUCCCUGCAGAUGCCAAUCAGAACAAGUUAAAGCCAUUGAGAGGAGGAGAAAAAAAAAUGCAUCUGUGGUUUGCAAGGGCAACCAAGAGAGAGAGAAAGAAGAGAAAAAAGAUCCCUUCUGGCCUAUGCUCAACUGCUGUAUGCCCCUCAGCUGAAAUGGAAAGCAAAUAUUCCCAGAAUCUGUUCAAUUCAAACAAACCAGUUGGCCAGCACCAGCCUUAGGGAAAGAGUUAACUGGAACGGUAGGAAUAAUUCCAGUGGCUGGAUAGAUGGGUCCUUGUGUCUCCUCUGGAGCCCAGCUCGCGUCUCCCCCUCGAUCUACAGGCCAUGCUCCUACUCGUGUUCUUCUCCACAAGCAUUUUCCUGCCUGAAAGUUGCAGUUCAUGAUCCUCCAGGGAUCCAGUGCAGCCAACAGCCCUUAUUCAGCAAAUGAACCAAGCUGAAAUACUUGCUCAGCUUCCACUGGGUUUGAUCAGAUUGAAGGAGGGGAGGGGUAGAAGUUAAUAGGGAUGGAAAGCAUCUGUCUUAUUUCUCCUUUUCUGAAGAGGAGUCAGAGCUGUUGCCUUUCCACGUGACUCCUGUGUUUAUUAUAGACCCAAAGUGGGAAAGUGUCUGUGCGUUAAGUCCCAAGAUCAAUCACAGCACAAGAUAACAUUUAAAAUAACUGCACCUAUUUUUGUUUGCAUUUAGGUCACUCCUACAAGGUCACUACUUGAAUCCCUACCUUUUGCAGGGCAUGUCAGCUCUUGCAGCUCCUUCCAUACAUCAGGGUGCAUGUCCAGCAAAGUCCCAGCCUGCCUACAGCACACUUUGCUCUUUAACCCUACAAAGAGAUGUUUUCCUCCUAGGUUCAACCUCUGUUCCCACCCUACAUCCUCUCACAGCCCAUCUUUAUCAGAUGACAAACCUGG